GUUGAGAGGCCAACAUCACCAAUUUUACUGACAAAAUUACGAUCAAGCAAUAUGUUUGCAGGCUUUAGAUCACGAUGAAUAACCGGAUCUGGCUUGGAGUUGUGAAGAAAGACAAGGGCAGAAGCCACUUCCCAUGCAAUUCGAUAUCUAUCAAACCAUGGAAUUGGAGGUGUAUCAUUUUUCCUGAGAAGCCUCUCCUCCAAGCUACCAUUCUCCAUGAACUCAUACACUAAGCAACCACGAUCGGGGCACACACCAAGAAGGAUCAGCAAAUGUGGAUGACUAAUUUUGCUCAAUAUUUCCAGCUCUUGCUGAUACUGCUUUGUUAGAUGAGAUCCCUCAGAGUGAAGAACUUUGACAGCCACUGUAGUAUGAUGCAAGCUGCACUUAUAAA
rnacentral:misc_RNA from 1 species